AUGGAGAUUCAGCAACUGAGAUGCCGAGUAAAUUAUGCCUCUCUGAGAUUUACCGCCGAAAUUGAAGAUUUGGGCAAGCGUGUAAUUAGAAUACUUCGCCAAAAUGGUCCUUUCUUGGUUCUUCCUUUACGUUACGAAAUGGAUAUGCCGGCUUUCUCUGGUUGUACUCAAGGGUGCAGUAACGAAGAGUCAGAAGAGCUCACAAGAAUGAGGUAUGCUUAUCCGUGGUGGAAAGAGAAAAUCAUUGACUCGGACUUGAAAAGAAGAGAUGGCCUUUGCCCAUUGACGCCCUUGUUCUCUGAGCAUUGUACAUCGAUAGAAGUAUGCAAAUAUACAUCGCAGCUGGGGAAAUAUAUGGUGGAAAACGCAGGAUGGCAGCUCUCACAUCAGCUUAUCCGAAUGUGGUGA
rnacentral:rRNA from 1 species